CGCAGGAGGAGGGUCUGCAGCAGGGGCUGGGCUGGCAGCAGGAGGGGGCUGAGCAGGGGGAGUCCUCGCAGCAGACAGGGGUGCAGCACACGGGCUUACAGCACACAGGGGUGCAGCAGUCUUCCUGACAGGGGGAGGAGGUGCAGCAGGACGGCUGGCAGCAUGAAGAGGUUGUGCAGGGGGAGUCCUCGCAGCAGACAGUGGUGCAGCACACAGGCUUGCAGCAGACAGGGGUGCAGCAGACGGGCUUGCAGCAGACAGGGGUGCAGCAGACGGGCUUGCAGCAGUCUUCCUGGCAGGGGGAGGAGGUGCAGCAGGACG